rnacentral:rRNA from 1 species
AUGCAGCUUUGGUCUGUCGCCGGGGCUGAAGAGGUGCUGGGCGACAAGUGCAUCAUCGACCGGCUCGACUCCCGCACGCACGAGCGCGGGCACACCAGAACCUUUGCCUGCUGGGUGUGGGUGUGGGAUGUGGCGUUCAUCCCCACCAAGCACACGAUCUGGAGGGCUGCUCGCGGCGCCGGGCGCGUCGAGGCAAUGCUUGGCUUCUCGCCGCCGAGCAGGGAGGUGGCACCGCCGCCGCGUGUCAAGAGGCACGACAUGCUCAUCCACGUUGACCGUGUCGAAGACUGGUCUCCGCUAUCGCCGCGGUCGUCCCACUCCGCUCAGAGCGGCCUCCCAUCCUCGGGCUCGGACGACAGCCGCAUGGUCCCCAUGACCUGGCCGGACACUUGGACCAUGCACGUGGAAGACGGCCAGGGGGCAGGGACGGAGGCACCCUGCUCUGGUCUCCCCGUCGGGAUGCGGAGGGCUCCACCUCGGGCAGCGUCGUGA